CGGGGAGUGGCGCAGCUUGGUAGCGCAUCUGGUUUGGGACCAGAGGGUCGCAGGUUCAAAUCCUGUCUCCCCGACCA
rnacentral:tRNA from 1 species